GUUACGACGAGUGUUGCACUUUCGUCGCGGCAUCGUGCAGCGUUCCUGAACUUCAUUAACCGAGGUAGCUGGGCGCCUGUACACGUUGGAUGUUUUCGGAUUUACUGGCAGAAGCGGAAACGGUUUCUCGGUAUUAAAGUCGGUCUUCGUAAAAUCGCGAAGGCGGGACCAGAUACCGGAAAUGAAAACGCUUCGUCGCAUCCGGCGCAGGCUUACCCCUGUUUCAUCCAUUACAACGUUGUCGAGGGCGCAGUGUUCCCUCUCCCCACGCGCGACGCAAUAAUAAUUCGAAGGCCAGAGUCGUACUGUUAUUGAAACAGUGGAGGCUUACAAGCGGAUCAGACCGUACAAGUACUAUCAACGUAGGCCAUGGCGUCGAUCACGAUGGUAUGCAGGACAUAGAUCACCGAAGAUCUACCAUUCGAAGAGAACACCACCGGAAGGCUAUUAUUCUCGCAGACCUGGGUACUACAGGUAUCUAUGAAUGCUAUGCAAAGUGGGCUACGGCUCAAUUUAACCGACUGGAUAGCGAUUUUAUGCGCAAAAAUGAGUUGAAAAUUUGGUACGAAUACUUAUAGGAUCAAACUGUAUAUACUAGGUAGUGCAGAUAUAUGAAACAGCCUACUCACCUUCAAAAAUAUCGCUAACUUCCACUAUUCGCUAUUCAUCCCAUCGCUUCUAAUCUCUACUACAACGGCAUCGUCGUUUGUUUGAAAUACGACGCACGUCUUCGUCCCCCUCGUUUUAACGAAUGAUCAUCGCGGGACGAUAAAUGUUGUAUCGAUCCACUAUUGAGUCCAACGACGGUGACGGAUUAUCGUGAACAAGCUUCCACGUCUGACGAUCAGGAAGCUUACGCGUGGGACAUGCUUCUACACGAAAUCGAUAGUAGGUCAUUCUAACUCGCAAUGCCAUUAUAUGUCAUCAGGUGUUUGGGACACCAUUACGGUCGUUCAGAGUGUCGCUCUUAAUGGAACGUAACGCUAACACUCUGGAUCUUUUAACGUCAUUUGGAAAGAUAACGACGUGUGUUCAUGCUCGAAAAUUUCAGAGCGAAACGCUUUCGCUUCUUUAGAUUUUGGAAAAGAAUUGUAUUAUUUAUAUCGUACGAAAAUGUUUCGUUUAGAGAUAGUUACUUAAAACGAAAUGGGUCAGGUGGAUACUUAAACUCGUGUUCAAAUCCUCUGGUAUAAUGUACGAUACCCGUGAUGUACAGUCUCGCUAGCAAAGCAAUAAUCUUAUCAGCCCUUAGAUUCCACAACAGCAAUUUACAAUUAAUCAAAGAUAAUCUAGUUAAUAACGGUUAUCCACCUAAAACAAACACAGGUAUAGAAGUCUGGCGUAUGGUUUGUCUCUUUCAUCUUGCGACUGACAUUCAGAGGAGAUCGAGUUGUUGUUAAUAUUAAUUAAAACCACGAUAGCAAAUUGAAAAGGUAAAUUUAAAGUUAAUUAUUUCCAAGAAUUACGAUCACCUGUUCUACACACCGAUGACUACCACUUGCGUGUCACGUUCGUAAUGUUACUUUUUCUAAUUGCGAAAUUUACCUGUUAUUAACCCCCUGAGCUACCCUUCGAGAUUACCGAUAGAUAGGUCUCACCCUACGUUUCUUAAUGGAGUUUCUGGCACAAGGUCAUACGAUGGACAAAGAUAUACCACACUUCUACUAAUCACUUUCUGAUUACGCGCUCUAAAGAAAUCGAUACAACAAGAAACGCUAGAACGUUCCAGAUUAUUUUCUUCGCACUGCAUUCAGCUAUUCUGUUAAUACCAAGAACACGAUAUGAUGUGUAAUAAUGUGCGAUACGAUGAAUAAUAACUCCGACAUUGUAGCAUUAUUUGGACUAUAUUAUUACGCCCGUAAUAAUAUUAAGCUCGAAUAUAUAUCGUCAGAGGUAAUUACAUCGUCGUAAAUUGUAUUAUUUGAAACGGUGGGAUUAAUAUGAUUUGUGUAAUUGGAAAUUGUACCAAUUUUCCAUGCGACUGUAACUCGACUGUAACUCCGUGCUCGUUAACGGAUUUCACGAAAGUUCAACUAAAAUUAAUAUCGAAUUUUAUUGAAAAACCAUGCGUGACGCGUUCGAUUCGAUUGUAGCUCGAUCGGAGGCAUUCGGACAAGGCGUUUUCGGUGAUUGGAUCGAACAUUCGACCGCUAGUUAUUGGCAUAGUAAUUGACGGUUAGAGUUAUCUCGUCACAAUUGUUUAAAUUAGUAAAAUGUAUAUGAAAUAAUGGUGUAGUAUACUUGACGAUCAAUGAAAUAAUAAAAUUGAUUAGAACCAGUUUCAUUUCACUUUUCAUUUCAUUUUUUGGGUCCACCUGUAGUUUCACAAGUAGACGUUCCCUUUCGAAUUGUCUCGACUGACCAGUUUGAUACUUACACUCGUUUCAUUUACAA